CCCCUAGAUGUUCUGGGCCGCACGCGCGCUACACUGAACAGUUCAACAAGUCUUAACCUUGGCCGAUAGGUCUGGGUAAUCUUUGAACGCUGUUCGUGAUUGGGAUAGACCUUUGCAAUUAUGGGUCUUCAACGAGGAAUUCCUAGUAAACGCAAGUCAUCAGCUUGCAUUGAUUACGUCCCUGCCCUUUGUACACACCGCCCGUCGCGCCUACCGAUUGAAUGGUCCGGUGAAAUCUCGGGACGGCGGCUCGGUCGCUUGCGUCCGACUGCUGAAACUUGAUUAAACCAUAUCAUUUAGAGGAAGGUGAAGUCGUAACA
rnacentral:rRNA from 1 species